AUACGGAGGGUGCGAGCGUUAAUCGGAAUUACUGGGCGUAAAGCGCGCGUAGGCGGCUUUGUAAGUCGGAUGUGAAAGCCCUGGGCUCAACCUGGGAAUGGCAUUCGAUACUGCAGAGCUAGAGUAUGGUAGAGGGAAGUGGAAUUUCCGGUGUAGCGGUGAAAUGCGUAGAUAUCGGAAGGAACACCAGUGGCGAAGGCGACUUCCUGGGCCAAUACUGACGCUGAGGUGCGAAAGCGUGGGGAGCAAACCGGAUUAGAAACCCCAGUAGUCC
rnacentral:rRNA from 1 species